CGCAACAAAUAGUACAUACAUCGCUUUAUCUCACGGAUCAUUAUCACCUAAUCUACUCACGAUAACUUUUAUUACAUUAUCGAAUGCCCAAUACCUACAUAUGUCCACAUAUUAUAUGAUGAUCCUUCACAGACCUGUUCUGAAUAGUUUUGAGGAAAAUAUAAUUUACUAUCUGAUAAUUUUACUACAUUUCAUUAUGCUCUAGCGUUUUUGGACGCGUAAUGAUGAAAUUGUUUUAUUUUUCACAGGUAUUCAUUGUCCUACAACGAAUCCAUGUUGCUGAUGCAUCAGGUGUGGACUGACUAAAAGAGCUGGAUCGCUUUGUCCACAACAGAAAAUAUACCGCAUACGACGUAUUCGCAGCACAUCUAAUCGAGUUUUUUUACACUAGAGGUACUGUAUACGAGUCUGCGAACUGCGAAGCUCAAUUUGAAAGGAAUAUGAUAGGCAGCCGUAUUCGAACAAUGAGAUACGUCAAAUACUAGAUAUUGAAACGAUAUGGAUUGGAUAUGUCAGUGUCAAACAAGUGACAAAAGUGACGUUUUUGUUUGAAGAUCUAUUAAUUGACUUAUCUUAAAGUUAGAAUCGGGCCGAGGAGUAUAGAUAAAUAGGAUAUAAA